rnacentral:rRNA from 1 species
AACGUAGGUGGCAAGCGUUAUCCGGAAUUACUGGGCGUAAAGGGUGUGCAGGCGGGGAAGCAAGUGGUGUAUGAAAUCUCCCAGCUUAACUGGGAUAGGUUAUGCCAGACUGCUUUUCUAGAGGACGAGAGAGGGGGGUGGAAUUCCGGGUGUAGUGGUGAAAUGCGCAGAUAUCAGGAGGAACACCAAUGGCGAAGGCAGCUCGCUGGGACGGUACUGACGCUGAGACGCGAAAGCGUGGGGAGCAAACAGG